GCGUGGAUUAGGCAUGCAAGUCGAGCGGGAAGCUAUUGUUUCGAUCUUCACGGAGAGAAACGAUGGUGGAGAGCGGCGAAAGGGUGAGUAUCGCGUGGGUAAUCUAGCCUUGAGUUCGGAAUAAUUCCGCGAAAGCGGGACUAAUACCGGAUGUGGUCCUCCGUCGCAUGGCGGGGAGAUUAAAGGUGGGGCUUCCUUAUUGGAACCUGCCGCUCGAGGAUGGGCCCGCGUACCAUCAGUUUGUUGGUAGGGUAACGGCCUACCAAGGCUACGACGGUUAGCUGGUCUGAGAGGAUGGUCAGCCACACUGGGACUGAGACACUGCCCAGACUCCUACGGGAGGCUGCAGUCGAGAAUCAUUCGCAAUGCGCGAAAGCGUGACGAUGCGACGCUGCGUGGAGGAUGACGGCCUUAGGGUUGUAAACUCCUGUCAUGAGGGAAAAGUCGGCGAUUGGUUAAUAGCCUUUUGCUUCGAUGGUACCUCAAGAGGAAGCCACGGCUAACUCUGUGCCAGCAGCCGCGGUAACACAGAGGUGGCGAGCGUUGUUCGGAUUUACUGGGCGUAAAGCGUGCGUAGGCGGCUUCGUAUGUCGGAUGUGAAAGCCCAUGGCUCAACCAUGGAAUUGUGUCCGAAACUGCGAUGCUAGAGUGCAGGAUGGGAGAGCGGAAUUCUUGGUGUAGCGGUGAAAUGCGUUGAUAUCAAGAAGAACACCGGUGGCGAAGGCGGCUCUCUGGAAUGCAACUGACGCUUAGGCACGAAAGCUGGGGGAGCGAACAGGAUUAGAUACCCUGGUAGUCCCCAGCCGUAAACGUUGUGCACUUGGUGUGGGGAGUAUUGACCCUCUCCGUGCCGUAGCUAACGUGUUAAGUGCACCGCCUGGGGAGUACGGCCGCAAGGCUAAUACUCAAAGAAAUUGACGGGGGCCCGCACAAGCGGAGGAGCAUGUGGCUCAAUUCGAUGCAACGCGAAGAACCUUACCAGGGCUUGACAUGCAGCUGCUUUCCCCCUGAAAGGGGGGAGUCCUUCGAGGGUGCUGCACAGGUGCUGCAUGGCUGUCGUCAGUUCGUGCCGUGAGGUGUUGGGUUAAGUCCCGCAACGAACGCAACCCUUGUGUUUAGUUGCUAUUUCCGCGUAAGCGGGAAGCACUCUAGACAGACUGCCCGUACAAGCGGGAGGAAGGUGGGGAUGACGUCAAGUCAGUAUGGCCCUUACGCCCUGGGCUGCACACGUGCUACAAUGGCCGGUACAGUGGGAAGCAAUGCCGCGAGGUGGAGCAAAUCCCCAAAGCCGGCCCCAGUUCGGAUUGGAGUCUGCAAUUCGACUCCAUGAAGUUGGAUUCGCUAGUAACGGCGCAUCAGCUACGGCGCCGUGAAUACGUUCCCGGGCCUUGUACACACCGCCCGUCACAUCAUGAAAGCCGUUUGCACCC
rnacentral:rRNA from 1 species